GAUGAACGCUAGCGGCAGGCUUAAUACAUGCAAGUCGAACGGUAACGCGGGGCAACCUGGCGACGAGUGGCGAACGGGUGAGUAAUGCAUCGGAACGCGCCCAGUAGUGGGGGAUAGCCCGGCGAAAGCCGGAUUAAUACCGCAUACGACCUAUGGGUGAAAGCGGGGGAUCGCAAGACCUCGCGCUAUUGGAGCGGCCGAUGUCGGAUUAGCUAGUUGGUGGGGUAAAGGCUUACCAAGGCUACGAUCCGUAGCUGGUCUGAGAGGACGACCAGCCACACUGGGACUGAGACACGGCCCAGACUCCUACGGGAGGCAGCAGUGGGGAAUUUUGGACAAUGGGCGCAAGCCUGAUCCAGCCAUGCCGCGUGCGGGAAGAAGGCCUUCGGGUUGUAAACCGCUUUUGUCAGGGAAGAAACGGUCUGGGUUAAUACCUCGGACUAAUGACGAUACCUGAAGAAUAAGCACCGGCUAACUACGUGCCAGCCGCCGCGGUAACAC
rnacentral:rRNA from 1 species